UACAACAUAUCGUUAAUGCACCGGAUCCCAUUAGAACUCUACAGUUAAGUGCACUCAUGCUAGAGUAGUAUUGUGAUGGGUGACCACUCAAGAAGUCCUAGUGUUUUAC
rfam:Picea glauca, whole genome shotgun sequence.